CGUAGGGGGCAAGCGUUGUCCGGAUUUAUUGGCGUAAAGCGCGUGUAGGCGGCUUGGCAAGUCCGCUGUGAAAACUCGAGGCUCAACCUCGAGAUGUCGGUGGAAACUGCUUGGCUAGAGUCCGGAAGAGGAGUGUGGAAUUCCUGGUGUAGCGGUGAAAUGCGCAGAUAUCAGGAAGAACACCUAUGGCGAAGGCAGCACUCUGGGACGGUACUGACGCUGAGACGCGAAAGCGUGGGGAGCGAACAGGAUUAGAUACCCUGGUAGUCCACGCCGUAAACGAUGGAUGCUAGGUGUGGGCGGUGUCGACUCCGUCCGUGCCGAAGCUAACGCAUUAAGCAUCCCGCCUGGGGAGUACGGCCGCAAGGCUA
rnacentral:rRNA from 1 species